AUGCAGGAAGCCGACGGGGAGCACGGCGUCAACAAGCCGACAGGAGGCGGGGUCUUCCCGCUGGGAUGGAGGAGCAGGCGAUGGCCGGGAGGCCACCGGUGGGGGAGCAACGAGGCCCGAGCUCUAGGAUCCGCACACAUUGCGGGAUGGAGAAGAGGCCGGCGUGGGGCGCAAGGAGCAGCAGGGGAAGAACAGUGGGGCUUUCAUCUCCUCUCUCAUCUCGACUCCUACAAACCUCGCCACUGGUGCUUGCUCGGCUUACUCAUUCUCCUCCUCUCCCCAUAUUUUCCUCUGUUGUUUGUGUUCCUUCAAUUUGCAGGGAUUGUGGGAAGCAAAUGUACGUGGGUGAGUUAUUUCUUUUGUGUGAAAGUCUCUUCCAUGCUGGUCUAUGGAUUCCUUGACGCUCUGUUCAUGACUGACUCUGUUCUUGUUUUAUCUUUUUUACCUUUGCACGGAGUUGUUCUACUCUCUCCCUCGAGGUGGGUUGAGUUGCAGUUUAGGUGGAGAUGUUGGUGCUGUUUGAGACGCCCACUGGGUUCGCCGUUUUCAAGGUUCUGA
rnacentral:rRNA from 1 species